rnacentral:lncRNA from 1 species
GGGGCUGGAGCCGGGGUUCCGGCCGCGAUCGGCUGCAGCUCGGCCGGGAGACGGCGCGACCCGGCGGCGGGGCCACCCGCGAGUCCAGCGCCGCCGCAGCCCCCCAAUGCGGCCGCGAGAAGCAGCGGGGGGGCAGGCGAUCGAAGGUCUGUCAAACUGCAGAGUGCAUCUCGGGGACACUCAGAAGCCAUAGGCGACCCACCUCCUUCGCCCUUUUCCUGGAGAGUGGAAAGUGAACUCCCUGAACUAGAGCCCCCCUCUGGGGUCUGUAAACAGAAACAGGACCCACCUGUGUGGUCAGGAAAACAGAAGUGGUCCCCCCCACCCCCGUGUCAGGAGCUGUCAGGAACCUCUCCAUAAUGAACAGUGUUCAGGGACCCUGAGCAAUUAGAGCUCAUUUGCAUGUCGUGGAAGGGCCCUGGGCCCCCUUCCCCGCUGGGCUCUUCCGGCUCCCCCUCCUCUCUGACUUCCCCGGAGACAGGUGCGAGCUUCUGGCUGCUGCAAGGUCCAGCUGGCAGGAGAACUCCAACUUGUCAUCACAGAAAUAAAAUUUGUCACCUCCAUGUUCCCAACCUCUGUUCUUUCAUGUUUAACCAGCAUUCGGAAUCUUGAUAAACAUGUCAGGGUUUCUAUUUUUAUUUCCUAAUUAAUUCAGAAAAGGAGCAGAAGACGUUGCUAAUGAUAGAAGAGCGAAAGGGACAGAUAAGGCCAAGGGGGUGGCGGGGGGGGGGGUUGGCUCUUGGUUUUCAGUUAGAGAAGGCACACGAAGGAAGAGGGGCAUCCAGCAGUUUGAGAAAUGACUUGGGGCCUGCAGGUGUCUUGGUGAUUGUUGGGCUGACCUGGCACUGGUCAGCAUUUAUGAGCAAAUCUAAGAGGAUCAAAUAGGAUGGCAAGCUUUUCUGCUUCUGCUACUGGACAGCGGUGCCUCAUUUUCCCAUGCACAAGGGAGGAUGAAAAUGUCCACACAUAUUAACUUUUUAAUUAUUUGAAAUGUAUUCUUUUGAGCACUCCUUCUGAAAUGAUAUUCUCUGAGGACGUUAAACUUAAUUUAACCUUUGUCUUGAUGAUUCAGAAUCCUCUUUCUAAACAUCUAGAACUGUGUACUUUAGUGAUUCCAGAAUCUUAACAAUCUCAAGGGUGUUGUGUUUUAAUUAAAUGAGCAUUUCCUCUACCCAUUGUUCCCGAAAAGGCUCAAGUCGGAGAUGUGGAAUAAUGGAACGAGUUCUAAACAUAGAAUCAAAACUCUGGUGUUAAUUUAAGUUUCAGCGUUAAUUAGCUGUUUGACCUUUAGCAGGUCUCUUAACCUCUCUGAGAAUUUAUUUCUUCAUCUAUAAAAAUAGGAAAUCAGAACAUAAUAUUCCCAAGAUUGUUUGGAUUUCUAAAAUGCUGUAAUUUUAUGAUGAAAUGAGGCAGAAUAAGAACUCAGGUAGUCAGAGUAGGAGCAUGGGCUUUGAUGGAUUCUUCGAUGUGGCCAUUGAUUAACAUUUGUGGCUUAAGGGCUCCAGGGAGUAACAUCCCCACAGGCCUUGUUUACUUAUAGGGAGGGUACCUACACCCCGAUGGACAGUAAUCCCUCAUCAUCCCCUGUGACUCAGUUUAUGGGAAGAAAAGGGCAAAGAAACUGAGAUUUAUGGGACAUUUCCACCCCUAAGAGCUCUAUUGGACAAAGACUGAUAUAGGUAAUUGAGCAAGGCCGAUAGGAGAAAACUACAUCUUUCUGGACCCCACGUUGGUACCCCCCCCCAUUUUUAAGGGAUAAAAACCACUAUAGGACAUUGGGGGCAGGGGGCCUCUUCUCCCCACUCCCAGCAGCCGUGGGAGCUUAAUAAAGACUUUGCUUUGCUUGCUGCCUGUGUGGUUGCGGGAUUCAUUCUUGGACUGUGUGAACAAGAACCCAGAUUCCGAGAAUGUCUUUCCAGCAUCAGAAGGGCUCCUGAUAUUCCACAGGGUCAGUUGUCCAAAGGGCUAUUGAUUGAGGUUGGGAUUAUUUGUGUCUUUAAGAUAUGGUCCCAGACUGCUAAGAUUUUCCAGAUAAUUGUGUUGGCUUUGAAGCUUUUUCCUAUUCCAUGGUUUGCAAACGAUAGCCUCUGGGCCACAUUUGACCCGCCACCUGUUUUUGUAAAUAAAAUUUUAUUGGAAC